rnacentral:lncRNA from 1 species
AUUGUCGAAAGAUUUUGUGUGAAUUUUGUGAAAAAUGUUGGCUUCUCAACACGUUAAUAUUUUGUUAUUGUAUCCCAUUUAGUUGUUUUUUUCUUGAAAGUAAGUCUCCUGUAUCUUAACCAUCUUUCUAAUCCAUUCGUGUUGGUUUUUUGGUAGCAUUGACACCCCUUGAUCAAUGGUUAAAUUUGAAAAGUUUGUUGCUCUUUGAUUCUUUCUUUUUUUACUUUUUGUAUGCACUAAUGGUUUUUAUUGGGUAUACGAGUGUUUAGAUAUAAUUUUAAACAAGAACAGGUAGUAAGGAUUUAUAAGACUAGUGGUUGAAUUGGGUAUGCAUUCAUUUAUGUGGGUUUGUCUAUUUUUUUUCUCAUUCAAUUAGUUAUGCAUUAAAGAAGUAAUUAUUUAAUGAAAAAUAAGUUUCCUGGAUUUUAUUGAAGUAAUUGAUAUGUAUGUUGAAGGAGAUUGAACGUCUUUUCACCCUCACAUUCUCCACCUUGAAUUUUUUUAAGGUUUUUGGUUAGCCAAAACUAUGA